rnacentral:rRNA from 1 species
UACGUAGGUGGCAAGCGUUGUCCGGAAUUAUUGGGCGUAAAGCGCGCGCAGGCGGUCCUUUAAGUCUGAUGUGAAAGCCCACGGCUCAACCGUGGAGGGUCAUUGGAAACUGGGGGACUUGAGUACAGAAGAGGAAAGCGGAAUUCCACGUGUAGCGGUGAAAUGCGUAGAGAUGUGGAGGAACACCAGUGGCGAAGGCGGCUCUUUGGCCUAUAACUGACGCUGAGGCGCGAAAGCGUGGGGAGCAAACAGG